AUAUCAAUAAGCGGAGGAAAAGAAACCAACAGGGAUUGCCUCAGUAACGGCGAGUGAAGCGGCAACAGCUCAAAUUUGAAAUCUGGCCCCCGGGUCCGAGUUGUAAUUUGCAGAGGAUGCUUUUGGUGAGGUGCCUUCCGAGUUCCCUGGAACGGGACGCCAUAGAGGGUGAGAGCCCCGUCUGGUCGGACACCGAGCCUCUGUAAAGCUCCUUCGACGAGUCGAGUAGUUUGGGAAUGCUGCUCUAAAUGGGAGGUAUGUGUCUUCUAAAGCUAAAUACCGGCCAGAGACCGAUAGCGCACAAGUAGAGUGAUCGAAAGAUGAAAAGCACUUUGAAAAGAGAGUUAAAAAGCACGUGAAAUUGUUGAAAGGGAAGCGUUUAUGACCAGACUUGGGCCUGGUUGAUCAUCCGGCGUUCUCGCUGGUGCACUCUUCCGGCCCAGGCCAGCAUCAGUUCGUCCUGGGGGAUAAAGGCUCUGGGAAUGUGGCUCCCUCGGGAGUGUUAUAGCCCACUGCGCAAUACCCUGCGGCGGACUGAGGUACGCGUCCGCAUGGAU
rnacentral:rRNA from 1 species